rnacentral:rRNA from 1 species
CCUACGGGAGGCAGCAGUGAGGAAUAUUGGUCAAUGGGCGAGAGCCUGACCCAGCCAAGUCGCGUGAGUGAGUACUGCCCUCUGGGUUGUAAACCUCUUUUGUCGGGGAGCAAAUGCCGGACGGUUCCGGCUGUGAGAGUAACCGUAGAAAAAGCAUCGGCUAAAUCCGUGUCAGCACCAGCGGUAUGACGGAGGAGGAGAGCGUUAUCCGGAUUUGUUGGGUUUAAAGGGUGCGCAGGCGGAUUGUUAAGUCAGCGGUAAAAACGUGGGGCUCAAUCCCAUCGAGCCGUUGAUACUGGGGAUCUAGAGUGUGCGAGAGGUAUGCGGAAUGCGUGGUGUAGCGGUGAAAUGCAUAGAUAUCACGCAGAACCCCGAUUGCGAAGGCAGCAUACCGGUGCACAACUGACGCUGAGGCACGAAAGCGUGGGUAUCGAACAGGAUUAGAUACCCGAGUAGUC